GGAGAGGUGGCUGAGUGGCCGAAAGCGACACACUGCUAACGUGUUAUACCCGUAAGGGUAUCGCGGGUUCGAAUCCCGCCCUCUCCU
rnacentral:tRNA from 1 species